UACGUAGGGGGCUAGCGUUGUCCGGAAUCAUUGGGCGUAAAGAGCGUGUAGGCGGUCCGGUAAGUCCGCUGUGAAAGUCGGGGGCUCAACCCUCGAAUGCCGGUGGAUACUGUCGGGCUAGAGUCCGGAAGAGGCGAGUGGAAUUCCUGGUGUAGCGGUGGAAUGCGCAGAUAUCAGGAGGAACACCGGUGGCGAAGGCGGCGUUCUGGACUGCAACUGACACUGAGGAACGAAAGCCAGGGGAGCAAACGGG
rnacentral:rRNA from 1 species